CUCUGCCCUCCAUGGGAUUUCCGUGUGAAAUUAACAGAGGACAUUCUUGGCUCACAUGUCCAGGUCGUAGCCUCUCCAUGACACCCAUGAAUAUUGAGGAGGCUGUCAAAUGGGAACGAACUGGAGUUUGUUGAAAUAUCCAACAAAGGAACUGACUUAGUGAUCAUGGGCUCAGUUGUCUAACACCAGGUGUGAUGGGAAGGAGUCGCCUCGCCACCAGGAAGACGGCAGACACAGGCACAGAUGCUGGCCAUCAGGCACGAUUUGGUGAACACCAGAGACAAGUUUUCCACCAUUACUUCUUUUUGAACCUCAUCUUGGAG
rnacentral:lncRNA from 1 species